CCUACGGGCGGCAGCAGUGGGGAAUAUUGCGCAAUGGGCGAAAGCCUGACGCAGCGACGCCGCGUGAGGGAUGAAGGUCUUCGGAUCGUAAACCUCUGUCAGCAGGGAAGAACGGUCACUGUGCUAAUCAUCAGUGAAUUGACGGUACCUGUAAAGGAAGCCCCGGCUAACUCCGUGCCAGCAGCCGCGGUAAUACGGAGGGUGCGAGCGUUAAUCGGAGUUAUUGGGCGUAAAGGGAGCGUAGGCGGUAUGUCAAGUCAAGGGUGAAAUCCCGGGGCUCAACCGUGGAACUGCAGUUGAAACUGGCAAACUGGAGUGUGGGAGAGGUAGGCGGAAUUCGAGGUGUAGGGGUGAAAUGCGUAGAUAUCAGGAGGAACAUCAGUGGCGAAGGCGGCUAACUGGACCGUAACUGACGCUGAGGAGCGAAAGCGUGGGUAGCAAACAGGAUUAGAUACCCUAGUAGUC
rnacentral:rRNA from 1 species